UGGGGGAUAUUGCACAAUGGGGGAAACCCUGAUGCAGCGACGCCGCGUGAGUGAAGAAGUAUUUCGGUAUGUAAAGCUCUAUCAGCAGGGAAGAAAAUGACAGUACCUGAGUAAGAAGCCCCGGCUAACUACGUGCC
rnacentral:rRNA from 1 species